UACGAGUGCCCCAAGCGUUAUCCGGAAUUACUGGGCGUAAAGAGUGUGUAGGCGGCUUUGUUAGUCUUUUGUUAAAGCCUCGGGCUUAACCUGAGAGAUGCAAAAGAAACGGCAAAGCUUUGAGGAUGUGAGAGGUUAGUGGAACUCAUGGUGUAGGGGUGAAAUCCGUUGAUAUCAUGGGGAACGCCAAAAGCGAAGGCAGCUAACUGGCACAUAACUGACGCUGAGACACGAAAGCGUGGGUAGCGAACGGG
rnacentral:misc_RNA from 1 species